rnacentral:rRNA from 1 species
CAAGUCGAACGAUACCAUUUAGCUUGCUGUUUGGGAAAGUGGCGCACGGGUGCGUAACGCGUAUGCAACCUACCUCAAUCAGGGGGAUAGCCCGAAGAAAUUCGGAUUAACACCGCAUAAAAUCACAGGAUAGCAUUAUCCAAUGAUCAAAUAUUUAUAGGAUUGAGAUGGGCAUGCGUGUCAUUAGUUAGUUGGCGGGGUAACGGCCCACCAAGACCACGAUGACUAGGGGAUCUGAGAGGAUGACCCCCCACACUGGUACUGAGACACGGACCAGACUCCUACGGGAGGCAGCAGUAAGGAAUAUUGGUCAAUGGAGGCAACUCUGAACCAGCCAUGCCGCGUGCAGGAAGACAGCCCUCUGGGUCGUAAACUGCUUUUAUUCGGGAAUAAACCUACUUACGUGUAAGUAGCUGAAUGUACCGAAGGAAUAAGGAUCGGCUAACUCCGUGCCAGCAGCCGCGGUAAUACGGAGGAUCCAAGCGUUAUCCGGAUUUAUUGGGUUUAAAGGGUGCGUAGGCGGCUUAUUAAGUCAGGGGUGAAAGACGGUGGCUCAACCAUCGCAGUGCCCUUGAUACUGAUGAGCUUGAAUACACUAGAGGUAGGCGGAAUGUGACAAGUAGCGGUGAAAUGCAUAGAUAUGUCACAGAACACCGAUUGCGAAGGCAGCUUACUAUGGUGUCAUUGACGCUGAGGCACGAAAGCGUGGGGAUCAAACAGGAUUAGAUACCCUGGUAGUCCACGCCCUAAACGAUGAAUACUCGCUGUUAGCGAUACACAGUUAGCGGCUAAGCGAAAGCGUUAAGUAUUCCACCUGGGGAGUACGGUCGCAAGAUUGAAACUCAAAGGAAUUGACGGGGGCCCGCACAAGCGGAGGAGCAUGUGGUUUAAUUCGAUGAUACGCGAGGAACCUUACCCGGGCUUGAAAGUUAGUGAAUCAUUUAGAGAUAGAUGAGUGAGCAAUCACACGAAACUAGGUGCUGCAUGGCUGUCGUCAGCUCGUGCCGUGAGGUGUUGGGUUAAGUCCCGCAACGAGCGCAACCCCUAUGUUUAGUUGCCAGCACGUUAAGGUGGGGACUCUAAACAGACUGCCUGUGCAAACAGAGAGGAAGGAGGGGACGACGUCAAGUCAUCAUGGCCCUUACGUCCGGGGCUACACACGUGCUACAAUGGAUGGUACAGAGGGCAGCAAGCUGGCAACAGCAAGCAAAUCUCAAAAAGCCAUUCACAGUUCGGAUAGAGGUCUGCAACUCGACCUCUUGAAGUUGGAUUCGCUAGUAAUCGCGUAUCAGCAAUGACGCGGUGAAUACGUUCCCGGGCCUUGUACACACCGCCCGUCAAGCCAUGGAAGUUGGGGGUACCUAAAGUAUGUAACC